rnacentral:lncRNA from 1 species
UCCUUCAUGUUUCCUAUAAUAUUAGACUAAAUUCGUUUUUAACUCCACAAGGACACAUGCGACGGUCUUGUGGUACGUCACUCUACACCUUAAACAACAUAUUAAGGUCGGCUCCAUGGAUUCAACGAGGCUGACUUCUGUUUUGCCUGCUCUCCAUGUUGACUCCUCCUGCAAAUGAAGUGCUGAAUAAGGUGCUGGUGGGCUUUUCUCAUGAUUAACACCUUUGAACAAUGCUUCAGGCUCCAUGUGACCGUUUUGUAGCAGAAGAGCUGAUCAGAAUAUGGAUAUGGCCAGGAUGGUUCCACUCGUAAGUGCUGGCAGCUGACCAAGACAAAGGUAAGGAGUUCUGACUGGUUUGAGGGAAGAACCUGUGAGGCUCAACAGACUGGGAUUCACCUUCUGGUGAUAAUGGUGGACUCAAAAC